GACGAACGCUGGCGGCGUGCCUAAUACAUGCAAGUAGAACGCUGAAGAGAGGAGCUUGCUCUUCUUGGAUGAGUUGCGAACGGGUGAGUAACGCGUAGGUAACCUGCCUGGUAGCGGGGGAUAACUAUUGGAAACGAUAGCUAAUACCGCAUAAAAUUGAUUAUUGCAUGAUAGUCAAUUGAAAGGUGCAACUGCACCACUACCAGAUGGACCUGCGUUGUAUUAGCUAGUUGGUGGGGUAACGGCUCACCAAGGCGACGAUACAUAGCCGACCUGAGAGGGUGAUCGGCCACACUGGGACUGAGACACGGCCCAGACUCCUACGGGAGGCAGCAGUAGGGAAUCUUCGGCAAUGGACGGAAGUCUGACCGAGCAACGCCGCGUGAGUGAAGAAGGUUUUCGGAUCGUAAAGCUCUGUUGUAAGAGAAGAACGAGUGUGAGAGUGGAAAGUUCACACUG
rnacentral:rRNA from 1 species